rnacentral:rRNA from 1 species
GACGAACGCUGGCGGCGUGCUUAACACAUGCAAGUCGAACGGAAAGGCCCUGCUUUUGUGGGGUGCUCGAGUGGCGAACGGGUGAGUAACACGUGAGUAACCUGCCCUUGACUUUGGGAUAACUUCAGGAAACUGGGGCUAAUACCGGAUAGGAGCUCCUGCUGCAUGGUGGGGGUUGGAAAGUUUCGGCGGUUGGGGAUGGACUCGCGGCUUAUCAGCUUGUUGGUGGGGUAGUGGCUUACAAGGCUUUGACGGGUAGCCGGCCUGAGAGGGUGACCGGCCACAUGGGGACUGAGAUACGGCCCAGACUCCUACGGGAGGCAGCAGUGGGGAAUAGUGCACAAUGGGCGGAAGCCUGAUGCAGCAACGCCGCGUGCGGGAUGACGGCCUUCGGGUUGUAAACCGCUUUCGCCUGUGACGAAGCGUGAGUGACGGUAAUGGGUAAAGAAGCACCGGCUAACUACGUG